CUGGAGCUCGCCUUCAGUGGCACUCAGAGCUGCCUGGCAGAGAGAAUCCAGCCGCCACCACCACCGGGAAUGGCGUCUUCUGCAUCCUCGGCUGCCUGGAGAGGCUAACGAGCCUGAAGCCACAGAGUGCAGAGAUCUGGUGUGUAAAGAAGCCUUUUCACUUUGCCCUCCCCAUGCAUGGGGGUCUCCCUUUGACCCAUGGGUGAAGCUGAAGAGCUCCUGAGCCCUGUCCUCCGCCUGGCACCCCAUCAGCUCUCCAACAAAUGCAGCGGAGAUGACUGGACGGCAACUCUACAACACCAACAACUACCAUCAUCUUUGCAGUAGAAUGGGGAGGACGUGCUUUCACGAUCUCCAUUUUGCAGUUGAGGGCUUGAAUUGCGCCAGCAGAGCAUAAAUCUGGCCAUCUUGGCAUUUUCUGCGUCAGGCUUCGAAUCCUGGUCUUGAUCACACGGGCAGUGUUUGUCCAUUGGGCCACGUCACCGACACCUACUUACAUAGAAAGGUCUAAGUAAAUACGAAUCUUUUCUCCUUUUUUCAUUCUUUCAUUGAUUUACAUACCAGAAGAUUAAUAAAAGUUUAUCAAAUUAAAUUCCGAACUUCCCUAGGAUGGCUCUGCCUUAGAUGCCUCACAUUUCAGACUUUUAUUAUAGAUGUUUGAUGCAAUAUCCCUUCCUCUAAUUAGAAGGGCAUUGCCACUAUUUCUGUAAAAUUGGCUUUGUUCUAAGAGAUUCCAUCCCUUUCAUCUUCAUUCCUCUCUACUUUACAUUUCGUUAUGAAUUCUGCCUAUAACCGUAAUUGUGAACCAUAUUUUCCUUCCAUUCAUUAAUAAAAAUGGCUUUUAUGUA